rnacentral:rRNA from 1 species
GAUGAACGCUGGCGGCGUGCCUAAUACAUGCAAGUCGAGCGAACGGACGAGAAGCUUUCUUCUCUGAUGUUAGCGGCGGACGGGUGAGUAACACGUGGAUAACCUACCUAUAAGACUGGGAUAACUUCGGGAAACCGGAGCUAAGACCGGAUGAUAUUUUGAACCGCAUGGUUCAAAAGUUAAAGACGGUCUUGCUGUCACUUAUAGAUGGAUCCGCGCUGCAUUAGCUAGUUGGUAAGGUAACGGCUUACCAAGGCAACGAUGUAUAGCCGACCUGAGAGGGUGAUCGGCCACACUGGAACUGAGACACGGUCCCGACUCCUACGGGAGGCAGCAGUAGGGAAUCUUCCGCAAUGGGCGAAAGCCUGACGGAGCAACGCCGCGUGAGUGAUGAAGGUCUUCGGAUCGUAAAACUCUGUUAUUAGGGAAGAACAUAUGUGUAAGUAACUGUGCACAUCUUGACGGUACCUAAUCAGAAAGCCACGGCUAACUCCGUG